GCCAUUACUGCUGUGACCUCACUUAGGGGCGGGUCCUCUGGGUCAGAUGCCCAAAAGGGUUUAAGAAUCCAGGGGUCAGGGAGCGUCAGCCCAGGCAGGGACUCUGAAGAGCACCCGGAUGAACGCCUCGCUGUACAUGCAUGGAUGCAUGGGCCCCAGAAGGACAGACACAGGAGCGAUUGUUAACUGAUCCACCUGAUUAUGGACAUUCAGUGUGAAUACCUGCAGCAUUUUCAGUGCGUUUUUUAGAGUACUAGUCCCUUCUACCUUCAGUUAGGAUUAGGUGUGGCUAUGAACACAGAGACCCAAAGAAACUGUGGCUUAAAUAAGAUCAGAGUUGAUUUCUCUCCCUUAUGAAGGUCGAGAAGCAGGUAACCCAUCAUGGUGAACUGGAUGGUGAGCUGGAGAAGUCCGUGUUGCUGAGCACUUGAUGCAGCAGAGCAGGGACAGUCCGAGGCCCUGCCUGGGAACUGACAAUCGGCCCGAGCUUCUGGCCUAGGCCUCUGUCCAAUACGAAGAACAAGCACCAUUUCCUAACUUGCCCAACCACCAGAAACAUCUUUUCGUGCGCCUGCAGAGUACAAGGAUGUGUGCUGGCUGUUUGGUUUGUGCUUUAUUUUUUACUUUUAUUUUUGGAAAAAUUUCAACUAUAAACUGUACUAGUCAGGGUUCUCCAGAGAAACUGAACCAAUAGGAUAGAUAGAGUGAGGGAGAUUUAUUAUAAGGGUUUGGCUCACGUGGUUAUGGAGACUCAGAUGUCCCACAGUCUGCCGUCUGUAAACUGGAGACCCAGGAAAGCUGCUGGUGGAGUUCCAUUCCAAACCUGAAGGCCUGAGAACCAGGAGAGCCAGUGAUGGAGGUCCCAGGCCAAGUCUGAAGGCCCGAGAACGAGGAGCACUGAGGUCUGAGGACAGGAGAAGUUGGAUGUCUCAGCUCAAGCAGGAGAACAAAUUUGCCCUUCCUCCACCUCUGUGUUCUACUGGAGCCCUCUGUGGAUUGGAUGAUGCCCACCCGCACUGGGGAGAGUAUCUCCUUUACUCUGUCUACCAACUCAAAUGCCAACCUCUUCCAGAAUCACCCUCACAGACGUCCGGAAAUAAUGUUUCACCAGCUCUCUGGGCAUCCCAGUCAUGUUGACACACAAAAGUAGAGAGAAUCAUAUAAUGAAUCCCCAUGUGUCUGUCAUUCAAUUUCAACAGUGACCAUCUCAAUGCCAACUUAGUUUCACCUAUACUCCUCCCCCAGGAGAGAUCAUGAAAACAGGAAAGAGCUGGUGGCAGAAGCUUGUUGAAAUGACCCUCAAGAGGUGGGGUGGGUCUGGUGGGCAGUCCCCCCCGCCCUGACUUCACCCCAGAGUUCUCUGGGGGCAGCCGCAGGUGUCUGGGUGGAAAGAGGUCUGAGAGUUAACGUGUGCUUGGGACGGAGAGAACAGUGUGCCCUGGGUCUGCCUCACCUCGCUCUUGCCGUUCUUUGUCUCAGCUUAGAAGCCACUUUUCUGCGGUCAACCCAGUUGCCACCCCCCACCCCCAAAUGGGCUGGGUGCCCCU